rnacentral:rRNA from 1 species
AUUGAACGCUGGCGGCAGGCCUAACACAUGCAAGUCGAGCGGGGUUUUCGGACCUAGCGGCGGACGGGUGAGUAAUGCGUAGGAAGCUGCCCGACAGAGGGGGAUACCAGUUGGAAACGACUGUUAAUACCGCAUAAUGUCUACGGACCAAAGUGUGGGACCUUCGGGCCACAUGCUAUCGGAUGCGCCUACGUGGGAUUAGCUAGUUGGUGAGGUAAUGGCUCACCAAGGCGACGAUCUCUAGCUGGUUUGAGAGGAUGAUCAGCCACACUGGAACUGAGACACGGUCCAGACUCCUACGGGAGGCAGCAGUGGGGAAUAUUGGACAAUGGGCGCAAGCCUGAUCCAGCCAUGCCGCGUGUGUGAAGAAGGCCUUCGGGUUGUAAAGCACUUUCAGCGAGGAGGAAGGGGUUGUAGUUAAUAGCUGCAACCUUUGACGUUACUCGCAGAAGAAGCACCGGCUAACUCUGUGCCAGCCGCCGCGGUAAGAC